UGCGUAAUGAUUAUGAUUAUUAUCGUUUAUUAUUAUUCGGCGCUCGUAUCACUGCGCGAUGGACUCGUUGACCCACAGAAUGCGCGCGCCAACACACGCGCAGUACCGGGUACAGUUACGCCCGUGCCCCAUGUGGACGACGAGGAAUUCAGAGCAUCAUUACACGUUUCGGGUUAUAAAUAAUUUCGGCUAAGUCAACGCCUAAAAUCCCCUUUGUGCGCGUAACACAAGGCUGCGCACCGGUACAGAUCGCAUCACGUUAGCAGUCGGAGUAAGGAAAACACACCAUCAACUCAACACUUAUACUAUGUAAAUCGUGUGUAUUGUUAUAGUUUUACAAUAGUAAAUAGUGAACAUCGGAAUCGUAACGCGAUAUUAAUGUCCGGUUAAAUUGAUACGGUUGUGCCGAAGGGGAAAAAAAAAAUCUUAACAAUAACAUUA